GCUCCAAGAGCAUAUAUUAAAGUUGUUGCAGUUAAAAAGCUCGUAGUUGGAUUUCUGGUACAAUGCGCCUGGCCGCGGCUAUUUAAGCCUGUGAGUGCCGGUGUGCGUUUGCCAUCCUUCUAGAAAACGUUCUACCUUCACUGGGCUGGACUCGCGAUCUAGAUCUUACUUGAAAAAUUAGAGUGUUUAAAGCAGGCUUU
rnacentral:rRNA from 1 species